UGCACAUAGUCCUAAGAAAUUAAGAUGAAACUAGAGUCCAGAAAAAAUGAAGUUUCAUCUUAAUUUCUUAGGACUACAUGCAUG